AGGAUGAACGCUGGCAGUCUGCUUAACACAUGCAAGUCGAACGGAGUACCUCGGUACUUAGUGGCGGACGGGUGAGUAACGCGUGAGAAUCUGCCCUUAGGUCGGGGACAACCAUUGGAAACGAUGGCUAAUACCGGAUAAGCCGAGAGGUAAAAAGAUUAAUUGCCUAGGGAAGAGCUCGCGUCUGAUUAGCUAGUUGGUGAGGUAAAGGCUCACCAAGGCAUCGAUCAGUAGCUGGUCUGAGAGGAUGAUCAGCCACACUGGGACUGAGACACGGCCCAGACUCCUACGGGAGGCAGCAGUGGGGAAUUUUCCGCAAUGGGCGAAAGCCUGACGGAGCAAGACCGCGUGAGGGAGGAAGGCUCGUUGGGUUGUAAACCUCUUUUCUUGGGGAAGAACAAAAUGACGGUACCAAGGAAUCAGCAUCGGCUAACUCCGUGCCAGCAGCCGC
rnacentral:rRNA from 1 species